GCUUGCUCUGUGGGAUCAGUGGCGAACGGGUGAGUAACACGUGAGCAACCUGCCCCUGACUCUGGGAUAAGCGCUGGAAACGGCGUCUAAUACUGGAUAUGUGACGUGAUCGCAUGGUCUGCGUCUGGAAAGAAUUUCUGUUGGGGAUGGGCUCGCGGCCUAUCAGCUUGUUGGUGAGGUAAUGGCUCACCAAGGCGUCGACGGGUAGCCGGCCUGAGAGGGUGACCGGCCACACUGGGACUGAGACACGGCCCAAACUCCUACGGGAGGCAGCAGUGGGGAAUAUUGCACAAUGGGCGCAAGCCUGAUGCAGCAACGCCGCGUGAGGGAUGACGGCCUUCGGGUUGUAAACCUCUUUUAGCAGGGAAGAAGCGAAAGUGACGGUACCUGCAGAAAAAGCGCCGGCUAACUACGUGCCAGCAGCCGCGGUAAUACGUAUGGCGCAAGCGUUAUCCGGAAUUAUUGGGCGUAAAGAGCUCGUAGGCGGUUUGUCGCGUCUGCUGUGAAAUCCGGAGGCUCAACCUCCGGCCUGCAGUGGGUACGGGCAGACUAAAGUGCGGUAGGGGAGAUUGGAAUUCCUGGUGUAGCGGUGGAAUGCGCAGAUAUCAGGAGGAACACCGAUGGCGAAGGCAGAUCUCUGGGCCGUAACUGACGCUGAGGAGCGAAAGGGUGGGGAGCAAACAGGCUUAGAUACCCUGGUAGUCCACCCCGUAAACGUUGGGAACUAGUUGUGGGGUCCAUUCCACGGAUUCCGUGACGCAGCUAACGCAUUAAGUUCCCCGCCUGGGGAGUACGGCCGCAAGGCUAAAACUCAAAGGAAUUGACGGGGACCCGCACAAGCGGCGGAGCAUGCGGAUUAAUUCGAUGCAACGCGAAGAACCUUACCAAGGCUUGACAUAUACGAGAACGGGCCAGAAAUGGUCAACUCUUUGGACACUCGUAAACAGGUGGUGCAUGGUGGUCGUCAGCUCGUGUCGUGAGAUGUUGGGUUAAGUCCCGCAACGAGCGCAACCCUCGUUCUAUGUUGCCAGCACGUAAUGGUGGGAACUCAUGGGAUACUGCCGGGGUCAACUCGGAGGAAGGUGGGGAUGACGUCAAAUCAUCAUGCCCCUUAUGUCUUGGGCUUCACGCAUGCUACAAUGGCCGGUACAAAGGGCUGCAAUACCGCGAGGUGGAGCGAAUCCCAAAAAGCCGGUCCCAGUUCGGAUUGAGGUCUGCAACUCGACCUCAUGAAGUUGGAGUCGCUAGUAAUCGCAGAUCAGCAACGCUGCGGUGAAUACGUUCCCGGGUCUUGUACACACCGCCCGUCAAGUCA
rnacentral:rRNA from 1 species